CGGGGUAUAGCGCAGUUGGUAGCGCGCNNAUGCAUGGGGUGCAUGAGGCCGCCGGUUCGAGUCCGACUACCCCGACUA
rnacentral:tRNA from 1 species